rnacentral:rRNA from 1 species
GGGGCCCGCACAAGCGGUGGAGCAUGUGGUUUAAUUCGAAUGCAACGCGAAGAACCUUACCUACUCUUGACAUCCAGAGAACUUAGCAGAGAUGCUUUGGUGCCUUCGGGAACUCUGAGACAGGUGCUGCAUGGCUGUCGUCAGCUCGUGUUUGUGAAAUGUUGGGUUAAGUCCCGCAACGAGCGCAACCCUUAUCCUUUGUUGCCAGCGGUUCGGCCGGGAACUCAAAGGAGACUGCCAGUGAUAAACUGGAGGAAGGUGGGGAUGACGUCAAGUCAUCAUGGCCCUUACGAGUAGGGCUACACACGUGCUACAAUGGCGCAUACAAAGAGAAGCGACCUCGCGAGAGCAAGCGGACCUCAUAAAGUGCGUCGUAGUCCGGAUUGGAGUCUGCAACUCGACUCCAUGAAGUCGGAAUCGCUAGUAAUCGUAGAUCAGAAUGCUACGGUGAAUACGUUCCCGGGCCUUGUACACACCGCCC